CCUUUCGUUCCGGCGGCUCCUAGAGCGUUUGCUUUGUUCCCGAUAUGUCUCGUCCCUCCGGGGUUAACUUGCAGAUGGUUGACCUGACCAAGCAGGACAGCAUGGAGGUUGGAGGGAGAGAAGGGCAUCGAGGGAGAUGAGAACUCACCUACCAUCUGAAAGUCUUAAGGUAUGCAUUCGUCUAGUGGCCUAAAGUGGCAAUCACGUGCUUUGAAGAGCCUUUAAGUGGGCAGUGAUAGGGAAUUUGAUGCAAGAGUUACUGCUGAGGUUCGUUGUUUUAAAAGCCCCGAGGAUUGAGCCUUAUUAUCAAAGUAUACUAAAGUCUUUUAAUUGUGUAUCUGUACAUACUGACACAGGAGAUGCAGAGCCCUGUUGUUAUUUAAAGUGUCCUGGUAGAACUGCCUGAGAAAAGGACUGAUUAAGAAAAUGGUCCCAUUGAGAUUAGUCUGUAACACAUUUUCUUGGCUGUUGAUAUGGGAGCAUUCAGCAGUUUGUGGGUGCAGUGUCUGAGCCGGGUUGAGAUUUCUUUUGUAUAUGCGUGGUAUUUAGAAAGGCAAUGAAACAUGUCUGCUAAAGUAUUUGCAGGCUAGUGCUUUUCAAGAUGUGACAAUGGCUAUCCUCCAUUACUGUAUUCUGAUAUCCACCCUGACCCACUCAGAUAAAAAUGUGAAUAUGCCCUAAAUCAAGUAGGCCCGAGAAAUGGCUUAGCAGUUAAGAGCACUGAUGGCUCUUUCGAGGGGUCCUGAGUUAAAUUUCUAGCAACCACAUGGUGGCUCACAACCAUCUAUAAUGGGGUCUGGUGCCCUCUUAUGGUGUCUCUGAAGAGAACAAUGGUGGUGUACUCGUGCAUAAAAUAUAUGAAUAAAUCUUACUCUUAAAAAAAGUAGGCCCGGGCUGGAGAGAUGGCUCAGUGGGUAAGAGCACCCGACUGCUCUUCCGAAGGUCCAGAGUUCAAAUCCCAGCAACCACAUGGUGGCUCACAACCAUCCUUAACGAGAUCUGACUCCCUCUUCUGGAGUGUCUGAGGACAGCUACAGUGUACUUACAUAUAAUAAUAAAUAAAUAAAUCUUUAAAAAAAAAAAAAAAAAGUAGGCCCAGGCAAGUUGACUUAAAUUGAGGCAAGCCUAGAGACUGAAGGGUGCUAUGUCUGAACAAUUGUCAUAUCAUUUGCAAGUGGACAGUGCCAGUCAGAGUUGUAUAUGUGAGACAGUUGCAUUUAGGGUUUGGUGCUGGAGUCAUGGGCGCCUCAGGUCAUACGUGAGGCCUCCUGGUACAUAAUGUUGAAACUUUCCAAGGCGAUUGUGAUUAUCUCAGCAAGUCCCAUUCCUUUAGCUAAUAAUUGGAGACACUGGUAUUACAGCUGUCUCCUGUAAAGGAGAUGUAGUCCUAAGUAGCUGUCUACCUAGCCCUUGGGAUCAGGCUCAGCAGCCUCCCACAGACAGGCAUGUGUGAUGACACAACUUUUUUCCCCAUCAGAUCGACCAUGUUGAUCACAUUCUUUUAAGCCAGUAUGUCUGACAUGCCUGCCUGACAGUACCCACUGCUGCUGUGCCCUUGGCGCUCAGGUAGUUGACAGGUUAUUUCUGCAUUUUAUCUCAGGUUUGCUGACAGACAAAACCGGGCUUUGAAUGGAGCGUGAACUCCUGAGGCGAGCAUUGGUGAGUGGUUUCCACGUGUCCCUCUUCCAGUGUAUACUUUGUUUCUGACAUAAACUUGGCUGGUGAACUGAUGAUAUCAUUUCUUUCCCCGUCAGAUCGACCCUGUUGAUCUCAAAUACUAAUUGCCAGUUUUGUCUGAUGCAUCAGCCCCAGGAAUAAUUCAUUGUUGGCUUUAAUCUAUUUCACUUGAUAAUGGCUUCGAUUUAUUUUCUACAGGCCCGAGAGAGCCGAGGAUGCAGGUGUUGGUCUGAUCUUGAUUUCAGGUACUUUUGGAAUACAGAAUACCAGAUGUGUUCCUGCUGCCCAGCCCCACAAGGCUAUGCAGAAUGCAAAGAAGAGUUACUUUUUGGCUGGGGAGUAGUGGUAUCAUGUGCACUAUUGCUGGAAAUAAUAAAUAUUGGCCUAUCUGUAGAAAUAAAAAUCUGACUAAUGAUAUUUA
rnacentral:lncRNA from 1 species